rnacentral:lncRNA from 1 species
GCUGGUUUCUAGCCUCUCUGCAUAUUGUUUCUGGCUACAGUAAGUCUAGUCACCAAGACUUAUCCCAGAAUGCAAGUUGCUGCCACUGACUUCAUCAUAACCACGGUUGCCAUUGUGGUGACCAGAAGCAUGAGGUGCUUGAUUGGCUCUAAGAACUGCAGGUCCAGGCGUGGCACUGUGGCACUGUGAGGUGUGGCAUGUGUUCAUCCAAGAAAUAUCUCCAGUCAUUACCCACUGCUGCUCAUGUCUGCUGAGAUGCCCAUCAGCAGGUGAAGGGCUGACAAGACGGUGGUGCGCCUCUUCAGUGGAAUAUAACCAGCUGUGAGCGAGUGCUGUUGGCUCAUUUCCAGUAAGGUGGAUGGAACAAGG